CUGGCUCAGGACGAACGUUGGCGGCGUGCCUAAUACAUGCAAGUCGAACGAGGUCUCCUAACUGAUGGCUGGUGCUUGCAUCAGCUUGAUGAUAGAUCUGACCGAGUGGCGAACUGG
rnacentral:rRNA from 1 species